AGCUUUGCACAGUGGCAGUAUCAUAGCCAAUGAGGUUUAUGCGAGGCUUGAUUAUUGCUAGGUGAAAACUUUUCCCAAUAACCCACCAUGACGACUUGCAAUAUAGUCAGCAUUGGCAAUUUUUGAUAGUCCCUAUUGGGA